CUCUGUCGGUAGUCGGGACUGUAGUCUCCGGAGUCUAGUGGCAGGUCGGAAAGUAGGUGUUGCCGAACCGCUAGGGUCUACAAAAUCUCAGGUCUUGUGAAGGUGAUGACGGAGAAAGGUGCUGGAAGUUUCAGUGGACCAGUCUCCAGGUCAUUGAAUGAAUUUGUGUUACAGACUUGCUUCUGGAGGUAAACUGAAUGUACUGUGCUGCAUUCACCAAGGAUGCUGACUGCUUGCUUUAGAAAUUAGCCGCAGGAAAUUAGAUGAGCACCAACUGAAAGUGGGGACUUCUGAAGUAAGCACUCCCUAGUACUAGGGAGGAACUGCAAUCAGUAUCCCUCACAUCUAAUUCAUGAUUGACAAAAAGGGCAUGACAGUGAUGAAGAGUGAAGAAAUCAUGCAUGGCAUGAUCACAAUGCAAAGAGGGACCAGGAACCCGGAAACCCAGCAAGGAGACUCAAAAUAAUGAGGCAAGAAUAAUAGUCCUGCUAACAUGAAAGAUUUGCUCAUUUCUUAAGCUGAGUUGCAGAGCUGUAGUAAAAAGUGAGUGGACUGAUUUGCAGUUGUCAUUCCUACUGAUGUUUUUGUUCAUUUUUGGCAACUGAGAGACAAUGGGAAUAAAAGUGGAAUAUGUCAUGUUGGAAUUACUAUUUUGUGAGAGUAUAGUGCUUUUUUGUUACAAUUAAGUACAAUAUAUGUAUUACUAAAAAAUUUUAUGUACAGCAUUUUUGGGGCAUUUUAUUGUCCUAGGAAUCAAAUAGAAAUGGGAAUUUCUUAGACCUGUCAUCUACAAUUGGGAAUGAGAAUUGGUAUGAUGGGAAUAGGUACAGCAGUAUUUUGUGUUAAGCAAACAGAAUAUUUGCCAUAUUCAUCUAAUAUUUAUACAAAUGUUUUUUAGGCAUUUUUAUCAUCUCAGGGGUUAUAGUUGUGGGAAUUGGAAUUACUACUAUAUAUAGUCUUUAUGGUUAGUGUUAUGAACGUAAAUAGGGUGGGAUUGGAUAUGACAACAGUACUUUCAAGUUUGAGAGGAUUAUUACACCAUCAUGCAUCUGCAGAGGGGUUUUUUUGGGGAUCAAUAAAAUCCCAAUUAAAUAGCCAUCUGGAUUCAGACUAACUUUGGAGAAAUUUUUGUAAAAGGUAUGUUUUCAAGUUUGGUAUAUAUUCAAGUACAAAAUAAUUAAUUUUGAUUUUUAUUUUACAUGCUUUCUGAACUUUUGAAAUUCCCAGCCAUGAAGAUACUGACACUGGAUUUCCUCUUCAUGUCAAGAAAAAAAAAACAAGUUAUGUAUAAUCUAAAGUGCAAGUUAGCAAUAGCGUUACAAUAUUUUAACUAUUUUUUACUGAUAUGUGAUGGCAAAGUUUAUUUCUCUUGAUUUUAAGUUGCCGCUGUUCAUCUCAGCACAGGCACUUCAUAUGUGUAUCAUGUUUUGUUUUUAUGUUCAGGAGUAUAAGGAUUGUUUAUAGAUGAGUAGUUUAAAUGUGUGCUUAUACAGUA